GAUGAACGCUGGCGGCGUGCCUAACACAUGCAAGUCGAGCGAUUCUCUUCGGAGAAGAGCGGCGGACGGGUGAGUAACGCGUGGGUAACCUGCCCUGUACACACGGAUAACAUACCGAAAGGUAUGCUAAUACGGGAUAAUAUGCUUUAGUCGCAUGGCUGAAGUAUCAAAGCUCCGGCGGUACAGGAUGGACCCGCGUCUGAUUAGCUAGUUGGUAAGGUAACGGCUUACCAAGGCGACGAUCAGUAGCCGACCUGAGAGGGUGAUCGGCCACAUUGGAACUGAGACACGGUCCAAACGCCUACGGGAGGCAGCAGUGGGGAAUAUUGCACAAGGGGCGAAAGCCUGAUGCAGCAACGCCGCGUGAGCGAUGAAGGCCUUCGGGUCGUAAAGCUCUGUCCUCAAGGAAGAUAAUGACGGUACUUGAGGAGGAAGCCCCGGCUAACUACGUGCCAGCCGCCGCGGUAA
rnacentral:rRNA from 1 species